CUCUUCAGAUCGAGUGGCGAACGGGUGAGUAACGCGUGAGGAACCUGCCUUUCAGAGGGGGACAACAGUUGGAAACGACUGCUAAUACCGCAUGACACAUAGAGAUCGCAUGGUUUUAUGUCAAAGAUUUAUCGCUGAAAGAUGGCCUCGCGUCUGAUUAGCUAGUUGGUGAGGUAACAGCCCACCAAGGCGACGAUCGGUAGCCGACCUGAGAGGGUGAUCGGCCACAUUGGAACUGAGAGACGGUCCAGACUCC
rnacentral:rRNA from 1 species